AUUGAACGCUGGCGGCAUGCCUUACACAUGCAAGUCGAACGGUAACGGGCCUUCGGGUGCCGACGAGUGGCGAACGGGUGAGUAAUACAUCGGAACGUGCCCGAUCGUGGGGGAUAACGAGGCGAAAGCUUUGCUAAUACCUCAUACGAUCUACGGAUGAAAGCAGGGGACCGCAAGGCCUUGCUCGGACGGAGCGGCCGAUGGCAGAUUAGGUAGUUGGUGGGAUAAAAGCUUACCAAGCCGACGAUCUGUAGCUGGUCUGAGAGGAUGAUCAGCCACACUGGGACUGAGACACGGCCCAGACUCCUACGGGAGGCAGCAGUGGGGAAUUUUGGACAAUGGGCGCAAGCCUGAUCCAGCCAUGCCGCGUGCAGGAUGAAGGCCUUCGGGUUGUAAACUGCUUUUGUACGGAACGAAAAGCCUUCUUUUAAUACAGGAGGGUCAUGACGGUACCGUAAGAAUAAGCACCGGCUAACUACGUG
rnacentral:rRNA from 1 species